CAUAACAUAAAUCACAAUUACUUGUAGUUUAACAUUCAUAUUAUUUAUUACUGUUAUCUAAUGGAUUGAUAGAUUUCAAAGGAAUAUUUAACAUGCGUUGUUAGAAAUUGAUAGGUACUUUAAGGCUUUAUUAGGUUAGGAAUGUUCGAUGGUGUUCUCCCCCCAUAUUGCGUCAUAUUUUGUGAAACGGCUAAUUUCGUCUCUAUAAAACCAUUAUCAUAAUUGAAGUGUGGAAACAUCUAAAAUCAUUCAUUUAUGUAUUCAUCUCUAAUCCACGUGAUAACCUUAACUGACAAUAAGAAGAACAUGGAGUACCUGUACCAGUAAUUAAUAUUUAUUUUAAUAAAGCAAUCGUAUUGACCAAUAGUCCAUUCGAAGAAAAAUUAUGGAGUCAAGACUGUGCAAGAAGUUUCAUACAAAGCAACUGCAUUCCUCUCUCAACGGUUAUACGUUGUUCAAGCGACGAGAGCCGGUUAAAGAAGUGUGUUCUGAUGAAUGAACGAAUGGAUAAACGGCAGUAGCGGGUAGGGGCUGUAAAAGAAGAGACGGACUUGCGCCCCUGCUGGUCCGAAGUCUACUGGAGGGGGGCGAGGACGACCUAGGACGUGGAGGGUGAGGGGUUGCCGGCUUAAUUGCACCGCAUCACAGAACGUAGUAUUUCGUAGUACGUGAUGGUGGGGGUGUAAUGCGUCCUCGGUCGUCCUCGUCCUCGUCGACGGCGUCGUCGUCGUCGACGACGCCGUCGUUAUUCGUAUGUAAGCUGCACGCUCGCCUGGAUCGACGUAUGCGUACCAGUGAUGUAUCAACUUAGGCCCCCUUUACGAAGGGGUUACCAACGAUCAUUCAACUCUUAAUCCCACGACCUUCCCAGCGAUCUGAACGUUUUCACUUGCAUUGUAAAUUGUUGCAAAGUUACCGGCGAACGUUCUGUCCUUAAUGCCGCGAAUUUCCCAACAAUUUAAUUGUGUACAAAGUUGAAAGUUACGUAAAAAGUUGCACAGACUCGAUGAAUUUUAGGGACUUUAAACUUUCCACGAGCUUUGUACGCGCAAUUUGAAAUUUCAUAAGCCUUAGAGUGCAGUCACAGCUAUGAUUUUUAUAAAUUUUUUAAUAAUUCAAAAGUUUAAGGCUUGUAAAGAUAGAGGCUUUCGACACGUUUUAAUAACUUCCAAUUUUGAACGUUGUAACGUUGUCUCCUGAUUGUCACUGGUAGGGGUUCGAAUCGCCAGAGCGACGAUAAUACGAACCAAUCGGCAGGACGUACGACACGAGCGUAAUAAUCGAUCGGUUCAGACGUUUGACACACUUUUCCAGGCCAACAACGAUUAAUUUUCGACGAUGCAAAUCUGUCCCGGGUAAAGAGAGAGUGAGCGAGC